GAUGAACGCUGGCGGCGUGCUUAACACAUGCAAGUCGAACGAUGAAGCCCAGCUUGCUGGGUGGAUUAGUGGCGAACGGGUGAGUAACACGUGAGUAACCUGCCCUUAACUCUGGGAUAAGCCUGGGAAACUGGGUCUAAUACCGGAUAGGAGCGUCCACCGCAUGGUGGGUGUUGGAAAGAUUUAUCGGUUUUGGAUGGACUCGCGGCCUAUCAGCUUGUUGGUGAGGUAAUGGCUCACCAAGGCGACGACGGGUAGCCGGCCUGAGAGGGUGACCGGCCACACUGGGACUGAGACACGGCCCAGACUCCUACGGGAGGCAGCAGUGGGGAAUAUUGCACAAUGGGCGCAAGCCUGAUGCAGCGACGCCGCGUGAGGGAUGACGGCCUUCGGGUUGUAAACCUCUUUCAGUAGGGAAGAAGCGAAAGUGACGGUACCUGCAGAAAAAGCACCGGCUAACUACGUG
rnacentral:rRNA from 1 species